rnacentral:lncRNA from 1 species
ACUGAGGCAGCCACUUUAGCUGCACCCAGCACCUCCCAAGGAAGAGAUCAGGAAAUCUCAAUAGCUGGUUGGCUGUGGGUCAAGGCGGACUUUGAUAGUGCUCUGUUCCUACAAAGAAAGCCAGCGUACAUGCACCAUGAGACAGUCAGCAGCAGCCUGUCACUCACGCAGCCCACCCGCCCCGGCAGCUUUAUAAGGCCAGGUUAUUUUCAGAGCGUUGGAAUUAAUUUUUACCCAUCAGCAGGGCAUACAAUUUCCAUUAAUACGCAUCUUUAGCAAUCACUGUUGUUGUUGAAUGUCUUCUUUUCUUCCAUGCUGAAUAAAUAUAAAUGAACGUUUUGUUAUAAUCUUACACUGCAUCUCCAAUGAGACUGAACAUGCCAUGCCCGAUCACACAUUCUACUCACUCAGUGAAACGAAUACCUGCUAAAAUUGUCGGCCACUUAACCCUUUCUUUGGCUAUUUAACUUUUUUAUCCAUUUGUGAAGCAUUAAAAGAUCUUUGUAUCAUUUCAUCAUGAGCGUUCAUUCAGUUAUCUUUUUUUGGCCCUGCAUUGUCUUUUCAUUUUAAAAUGGAAGUUCUUAGUCUCAGAGUCACAAUAAUUUGAGAGCACAUAUGAUCUCCAUCCCCCAACCACCAUCUUCUCCCAGCCAAUGACAGUUUGCAUGAUGUCAUACAACAUCAAAUGCAAAUUGCUAGACGCUGUUGCAGCACUGUUUAGUCAGGUGUACAUCUUGCUAAGUUUCACCCAUUUCCUAUGAACUUACUGUGUGCAUUUCAUCUGUAUAGUUUUACAGGGCAAGCUUUAUCAAGCAUAUUUGAGAAUGUGCUGAACUAAAGCGCACAUUUCAUAGGAAUAUGGCUCUUGUUAUGCAUAUGCACGCAUGUGUGUGUGUUCACAGGCAGAUAGAAGCUGGAGGAGAGCCUCAGACAUCAUUUCUCAGACAUAGCCCACCUUAAAAAAUGUUUUGUUUUUGGUUUUGGUUUUGGUCUUUUUUUUUUUUUUUUUUUUUUUUUUUUCGAGACAGGGUUUCUCUGUAUAGCCCAGGGUGUCCUGGAACUCACUUUGUAGACCAGGCUGGCCUCGAACUCAGAAAUCUGCCUGCCUCUGCCUCCCGAGUGCUGGGAUUAAAGGGUCUGCCACCACGCCCAGCUGUUUUUGGCUUUUUUUAGAUUGUCUCUCAAUGGACUGGAACUGUCCUAAAGGUGACUAGAUCAGCUAGCUGUGAACCCGAAGGAUCUGUCUCUGCCCUUCCAGCACUGGGAUUUGAAUUUUAUUUUGUAUAUUUUUUUCCAUAGAGAUUGGUAAUUUGUACCCCUGAAAGAGAUAUGAACUGGAACACUCAUACUGCAGAAGCAGGCAGACACACUAUGCAGCCUUUGCAGAGUCUCUUUUUAGUAGAAAGAUUACUGUUAGUUCAAGAUUUUUAUUCUGAGAAUCUGACAUUCAAAUUGAAGCUCAAGGGAGUUCUGAAUCUGCUUUAGGUAAAGAACAAACCAAACCAAACCAAAACAAAACAAAAGAACAACAAAACAAUGAAAUGCUAAGUCACAAAAAUAAUUCAGGUCUGUAAGCACCCACUAGGACAACAUCAGGACGUGGUCAGGGAGCUGAGGAAGUCAAGUGCUGUGGUUUGAAUGAGAAUGGCUCCCUCCCAUAGGCUCUGAAUCUGAAUGCUAGGUUCUCAGUCAGGGGAGCUGUUUUAGGAGAAACUGUUUUAGGAGGUAGUAGGCUUUGAGGUUUCAAAAGCCCACCGACUUCUCAGUAUCUCUGUCUGUCUCUGUCUCUCCCUUCCACUCCCUCUCCCCACCUCUCCCUCCUCCUCCCCAUCUUUCCUGCUCUCCCUCUCUCUCCCUCCCUCCCUACCUGUCCCUCUCACCCUCCUUUCUUCUCUCCCUCUCCCUUCCCCUUCCCCUCCUCCCUCUCUCUCCUCCGCCUUGUGCUUGUGGAUCAAGCUGUAAACUCCUAGCUACUGCUCCAGUGCCCUGCUCCCUGCCGUGAUGGUCAUGGAUUCUACUGCCCUCUGGCACCCAAGAUGUCUUAAAUGUUUCAUAAGAAUUGCCAUGGUCGUGGUGUCUCUUCACAGCAACAGAGAAGUGGCUAAGACAACAAGUGACUCUGAAACUGCUUUCAAAGGGAAGUUAAGUACAUGUGCAAAUGAGAUCCGUCUCAUUUUUGCCACAGACAGACAAUGAGUCCCACAAAAGGCCCCACUAAAGACGGUUUACUUUGCUCUCCGGACUUUGAUUUCCACAAUGGCGACACCGGUGUGUAGUAAGCGGGCCUUGGCUCCAAAACCAGCCCAAGGAAGUUACUUUGGUUGUUUGUCAACAACCUUAACAACACUGUCAGUAUGAAUGACUUCUGUUCAAGAGGUGAGGUGGUGAUGAGGUUGUCCGCAUGGGGCGCUGUGGCGCGCUGAGGCAGCACGUCCCGCAAGCUUUGCUUUAAAGCUUUAACGCCAACUGACAAAUCCCCGUUGAUUCGAUUCGGCUGGCGCCAUCGCUUUUACCGUUACAUCUCCGAACCCUGCCAUGUUGGAGAUCACCCGGCGCUCUCAGUCUCCCUCAGCUGCCAGGUGUAGAGGCCUCUUUACGAAUGACUGGAGGAGAUCUUGUUCCUCGGCUGGCUAAUGCCACUUUAAGUGAAGCCAGCCUGCCGUGUGACCCCCGGCUUGUCAUUUUAAUGGAUCUCUGGGCAGAAGCUAUAAAAGGAGGCACCGUGUUUGGAGUCGACAUCUAAGAUAGUCACAAGCAGACAUGAUUAAUAGGAAGCUUUUAGCUUCUACAGAAGGUCGUUCUUCUUAAAAGUGGACUGCUAAAGGCUUUCAGCACAAACUACCUUGUAAAAUGACAUAGGCUUGAGUUGAAGAAACUCUCUGACGACCUCCUCCACUCCCCUUGAAGCUCAGAAGAUGGAAGCGGAAAUUCCGGCCGACGAGCAAAAAUUUACAUCUCUGGCUUUUGUCUCGGUUAUAUUUCAGUUUAAUAAUUGGCAAUGACUCGCCAACCAUUUGAAGAGAAACACAAGUGACUGCUUUUUUGGGUCAUCUGAGAAGAGGGAAUCUUAACUGAGAAAAUGCGUCCUUCAGAUCCGCCAAGGAGAUUUCCUCAUGAGAUUUUCUGCCUGGUGUGACUCUCGUCGGUCGGAAGAAGCCAACAAGAAAAGAAGCAACGAAGAGAAGGAACAAUGAAGAGAAGAAGGAAGAGAAGGCGUGGGUUGGGGCUCCCAAGCUCCUCAUCUCAGCUGGGGAUACCCUUCCCUGGGAGCUGCAGCGCCUCUUCUGAGGAGGCUUCCUCUCAGCUGUGUGGUUCCUGAGCCCCUGUGUCUCAGGAUGCGCUUCCAUUGGGACACUAUCUCACCUGAGAGCUGUAAGGUUCCUGGGCCCCCGUGUCCCAGGAUACCCUCCCACCAGAGCAGAAUGUAUGUAAAUUCAUUUUCACCUCCUCUCCCACCUCUCAUCGCCUUCUCCGUCCCACACAACCCCCUCUCCAUGACAAAGGUCUCCUCCUAUUUCACAUCUUCUUUCCACGCGUGAUCCACAGAGAUUCACUAGACUUGCUUGCACAAGCAGGAGUUGGGUGGUUAUUUACUGGAGCAAGGGCAACCCCCAGCAACCACUAACUGAAUCUUGGCGGUUUGAUCCGCCCCAUAGGCUCUCCAGCACAGGCUGGUCAGAAGCCAGUAGCCCAGAGAACAGCUGAAGUGUGCAGCUAAAGCCCUUCUUAGGAGAAGGUGGAAGCUGAACUGGACCUGAGGUUGCAGCUUCUGGGCUGGUGGGGUGCCUGCUUGUUUUACAGUCUCCUCUGUGGUCUUUGCAUUUCAUCCUUGUGAGUUCUCCAGUACCAAGUCUCUCAGCUCCCCAAGCAAGGUGAGUUCACUAUCAGACCCUUUUGCACAGGCAUGCAUGCAUAUGAGCCUGUGUGUUAGUGUGUGUGUGUGGGUGUGUCCUGUAUGUGUCAUGUCUGUUUAUAUGUAUCAUGUGUUUGUGUGUCAUGUUUAUGUGUUUAUGGUGUGGUGUGAUUUGUGUGUGUUGGUGUGCAUGUGUGUCUCUUGUGUAUAUGCAGGUGUGUUUGUGUGUUCUAUAUGAGUGUGUCUGUAUGUGGUGUAUGUGUAUAUGCAUUUAUAUGUGUAUUUCUGUGUGUGGGGUGUGAUGUGCAUGUAUGUGUUGGCGUGUGUAUAUGUGUGUCUCUGUAUAUGUGUGUGUGUUGUAUAUGUCAUGUGAGUGUGUGUGGUAUAGUGUGUGUUUCUGUGUGUUGUGUUGUGGUGGUAUGGUGGUGUGGGGUAUGUGUAUAUGUGUGUGUAUUUGUGUGUGCUUUUCUAUAUGUGGUGUGGUGUCAUGUGUGUGUGUAUGUGAAGAUUCUUUUCCACCUCUGAACAGAAGGGACUCAAGGAUGACUCCCUCCUGAUGCUGAUAAGCUUGGCUCAGAGAGGCGUUUCUGUCUCUGCUUCCCCCUGCUUUCGAGGCAGCUAUCUAUCUACCCAGCUAUGUGGUGAGAGGGAUGCUACUGGUUUUUGCUUUAUUCUUGGUGGGAAUUGAUCCACAUGCAGGUGUUUGCAUGGCACAUCUUUGGAAGUGAUAACAAGGACAUUUGUGUUCAUCUGAGCUGCUGUUCCUUUUUAGAAAUACAUAUUGUCUUGGUUAGAGUUUUAUUGCUACAAAGAGACACCAUGACAACAGCAACUCUUAUAAAGGAAAACACUUCAUUGGGGCUGGCUUACAGUUUCAAGGGUUCAGUCCAUGAUCCAUUGUGGCAGGAAACUGGCAGCAUGUAGGCAGGCAUGGUGCUGGAGAAGGAGCUGAGAGUUCUACAUCUUGAUCUGAAGGCAGCUGAAGAAGAUUGUGGGCCACAAUGGGCAUAGCUUGAGCAUAGGAGACCUCAAAGCUUACCUCCACAGUGACCCACUUCCUCCAACAAGGUCAUACCUCCUAAUAGUGCCAAUUCCUAUGGCCAAACAUUCAAAUACAUGACUCUAUGGGGGCAUUCCUAUUCAAACACACACAUACACACACACACACACACACACACACACACACACACAUAUGCUUUAACUAGCACGAUAUGAUGAAUGCCUCCUACGAUCAUAAUACCCUGAAGUUAAGGAUAUUAUUCUAGAAAAAUGUUAUAUGAUUAAUAUCCUAUAAUUAUAGGGUUACUAAAAUGUAGGUAGUAAAGAUUUGAUGUAGUACAUUAUUUUCCAAAACAAAUUUUAAGGAGUAAGUCCCAUAGGUUGGUAUAGUUUAUAUACAACAUGUUUAUAUUUUUUCCCAAGUAGGACUUGUUUUUCUACAUAACACACAUCUCUGACUCCUGCAUAAAAGCAUACACACGUGAAGCAUCCCUAAAGCAUACAGAAAAACACAAGCCUCUAUACUCCAUCUGUUCUAGAUGGUUGAGCAUGCUGUGGGCUAGCCACAUACUUCACAAUAGCGUCUUCAGACAUUAAAAUGAUUGAAUUUCCCAAGCAGAAAAUGAAAACCACAAAACAGGGCCAGAAUAACAAGCAAUUCUGUUCCAUCAAAUAUGGGAUUUAAAUAUACAAUUACAGAGCUUCCAUUUCUGUGCUGUAACAUUUAAAUGUUAUCCCAUCCAGUCAUGGCAACUAUGCUAUGGAAAAUAGCCAACUUGAGACCAAUUGAAAUGAGGCCGAUGGUCUCAGGGAUAAAUGGAUUUAGUCAGGCAGUGCUGGAAAAGCCUAUUCUUGUAUAUAAUUUUGAGAGAAAGCCAUUAGGGCUGUGUAUGUGUGUGUGUGUGUGUGUGUGUGUGUGUGUGUGUGUAUUUGGGGCUAACAGUUAAAACAAUUGUUGCCCACGAGAAGAGCAAAAAUAUAAUUGCCUCACUGUCUCUAACUUCAGCCCUAUCCAACUAAUAAUCUGCAUGAAGUUAUUCAGAAAAAUGUCAAGAAAUUUUCAAGGGGAAGGCAUUCAUAGGGUCCAAGUGAUCCUCAAAAUGUUCACAAGGAAAGCUAACUAAUCUUUUGAGUUCUUGAUCCUCAAAAUGUAGUACCAUGGGCCAACAUCAGGGACAGGACUUGAAUGAGGACAACCCUGUUCACCUUGCUUCCUGGGGACCUGUCUUGUAAAGCCCAUGAGAUGGGCACUGAAAGAUCACCUGGCACCUGUGCCUUGUCCCUGACAGCAAAGCUCAAAGAGGCAGGAGGCAAGGGAGCUGCAGCUAACGAGGCUGAGGACAAGCUGGACUGUCUCGAGUAUCAGAGGUAGCCACGGCAGCCGCUAACGAGAGAGCACUGCUAGCAACUAGGAAGUCCAAAGCUCUCUCCAGCAAGGAUUGACCUCUCCAUGUACCAGAGAGGAUGCCGCUGUUAAAUCUUUCCGAGGAUCAUUUCCACAGCACCAAGCAGAAAACCGUUGCUGCACAAAUCCAAGAAGCCCAUACGUGGGUCUGGUGUUGUGAGAAGAGGAUAGAGAGUUUGGACAAUGUACAUGUGUGGAAGGAUGCAAAACUGACCCAUGACACUGCCCCAGUGUCCCUCUUAUGGAAGCCCAGGAGAAUGGGUGGAUCUAGAGGUUCUGAUCUGCAAAAUUAGAUAGAUAUUUUAGUGACUUCCAAAUCCACACUCAGCCACAUCUCUGUACCUACUCUUUCAGCACAAAGCUGGUACGAAAACGAUGAGACUGUAUAGCAUCCUGUAGCAUGUUCACGGAUGAGGGCCCAGGAUGCAGUGGGCUAGAAAAUCCAAGCUGAGGUACAGGAAACACUGAGGAUAAGGUUUAGCAAUAGGAUGGGAACGGAGGGAGAUUAAGAAAAACCUUAUAUUUGAGAGCCAGGUCCGCCUAUGAGAGUUGGGGACAUGAGCUCAGGGCCAGCCUCAGUCACCCUUUUGAGUGAAGGGCAGCAUCAUUCCAACUGAGCAUUGUAUGAGAGUCACAGGGCUAAGAGCUUGCAUCGAACCUUUCUGCUCUCUAAGAAGUCGUUCCUGUGAUGACUGUUUACUUGAAUAAUCUGACUCUUCCAAGAAACAAAUGCUUAUCUAGAAUCCAUGCUUGUAAUAAAAUACUCUUACGGUGGAAUCGUAGAAACCAGUGCUGCGAAGUAAUGCGUACUUGGACCGUUGCUACCCUCACCAGGCUUUUCAGCAAAAGGUGAUGGAUCCGUGGCAACCUAGAUCUGACGAUUGGGAUCAACAGGCCUCUUUUCUGGUAUCUGUCUCCUAGAGACUGACGAGACUCAGAGUGGAGGCUUUGUGAUAACCCUGAUUGUCAUAAUGAGGAGUCUGAGGCAAGCUAUGCCUCCAGCCCAGAAGCCCAGAAGCCCAGAAGCCCAGUGCUGAACCAUCUGCUUCCCCCAGUUGAUUCAGGAUUUUGCCUCUGGGAUGGAUAAGACCAGCCAGAAUUCUCAGGUCCUGUGCCCAUGGAUUUAAUCUAUUGUACAUCAUAAGCAUUUGAAAAAAUGUUGCAUCUGUACUCGCCAUGUAUAGAUUUUUUUCAUUAUUUAAACAGCACAUAGCAAGUAGCCACUUAGAAUUUCACAUUGCGUCCAGCAUCUAUUAGAAGUGACCUAGAAAUGGCUUAAAGCACACAGGAAGUUAUGAGGACAUAGGUUAUGCACACACAUAGGCUGUGCUAUAUAUGGUACUUAAGCACUCAUGGAUGGUGGUGCCGGCUCCCCUGCCCUGUGGCAUCUGAGUGGCAUCUGUAUGGGGUGUUCCAGUGCCAACUCUUCUCUGACAGUGAACUGUUUUCACCAUUUUACAGAUUUUCAGUAUAAAUUGCUACAAACAUCAUGUAAGUAUGGUUUGAGAAAGUAGAAAAUACUGUAUUUGACUUUAAAAAUCACUUUAUACAUCCUAUAAUCUAUGGGCAAAUAGUCACAGGCACUCUUACUAAACCUUGAUAGACAACCAAUUAAAAAAUAUAAGCUGUGGGCUGGAGGGCUGGCUCGGUGGUUAAGAGCACUUAUUGCUCUUCCAGAGGACUUGAGUCCAGUUCCCAGCACCCACAUCAGGCAGCUCAAAACUGACUGUAACUCAGCUCCAGGGGCUCUGAUGCCCUGCUCAGGUCUCCGUGUGUACCUGCAUACACAUGCCCCUCUCCCUCGCGUGUGUGCACGCACUCGCGCGCACACACACACACACACACACCAUAAUUUAAAAUAAAUAGGAGCUAAAGAGAUGACUCGGAAGUUUGGAGCACUGUUUGUAGAGUCACAGGCACACCCAGGCUGCUUGUUCUCCUCCUCUUCUGCAAUCUAACACUUCAGAGGCCCACAGUAGGCAGGCGAUCCCAGGAAAGAGGCUCUGAGAGUUCACGGGAGCCCUGAGCGGUUUCAUUGCUUAUUUUCAAAAGACUUCCUGGAGGAAACUUGCAAUCUCCACACGGCAUGAUUUUUUUCUCACUUGCUCUGAAUGCUGCGUUUGGAUUCACCCUGAAGCUACUGAACAUACAUCAAAGACUUCGAUAUAAGAGGAGAGAAAUUGCCUUUUCAAUAGAAGGGAUGAAAAUAACUGAAAUUUCCAGGGUGCCUGUUUCUGAAGAUCUUAUAAGGCCUUUACAUGGCUUGUUGAAAAGCCCCUCCUCCCACCAAGAAAUCUUUCUUCCCUUGUAUAGCAUUUGGCUGGUAAAGUUUCUCAAAAGUUUAAAUGUGUUUCUCAAUACCAUUCUCAACUUCUGAUGUUCUGUCUUCAGGUUCAGCACAUUUCAAUUUCACAUACAGAUGUCUCUCUCUAAAGAAUAAAUCUGAUAAGCGGUGACUCGUUCUUUGCUCUCAGAGGGUUCAACUCCUCUGAAGAGCCGAUUCUUAGCUUUUUCUUCUGGAUCAGUCACUGCUGACUUCAACCUUCAUCUUAUUUGAGGGUAUCUCCAGCCAGGGGUCAUGGGGUGAUGGUGCUGUAGUCCUGGGUUACAACCUUGUGUCAUUCUUAAAUACCAAUAGAAUGCCGUGUUCUAUCGUCUGGACCUGAUUUUUGAUGCCUUUGUGCUUGGUUCUACCAGGUAGCUGAGCCUUGUUCUUGUUCCCUGUGCUAGCCAGCUCUCUCUCUGUUGCUGUAGUAAAGACCACAAUUAAAAGCAGCUUGGGGAGGAGAGGGCUUAAUUCAUCUUAAGUUUAUCGUCCAACCUUGAUGCAAGGGCGGGGGACUCAAGCAGUAACCAGGAAGCAGGAACUGAAAGCCCAGACCAUUGAGGAGCCCUGCUUACUGGCUUGCUCAGCCUGCUUUCUUACACAAUCCAGGUCUACCUGCCUUGGAGUAGCACCACCCACAGCGGGCUGGGCCCUUCGAGGUCAAACAUCAAUCGCGAACUGCCCACAGAUUUGCCUAUGGGCUGAUCUGAUGGAAGCAUUUUCUCAGCUGAGACUCCCCAUUCUCAGAUGAGUCUAGUUAGUUUCCAGUUGAUAAAAAGCCAUCUGGUGCACUCCCGUUAUGGCAAUGUAAUGGGCAAGUGGACUGUGCCAUCAGACAGAAGACCUGGCAGGGUUGAAGCAAAUUAAAAAAAAAGAAACAAACAAACAAAAAAAAAAAACAGGAAUUCUCAUAAUUGACUACAGUAGAUGUCAGAACCAGCUCCCAGCCAGGAGUCUACCUGUCCUGGAACGCGUGACCACGUCAGGACACCAUCCCACCUGAAGUCUUCAGUCAUGCAGAUAAAGCAUCCCUAACGCCUCAGAGCGAGCCAAUGGGAAGCAUCUACCCCAAAAUGUUUACAAGGUCCCUGUCCACAAGAAAUAAAGUGCAUGAGUUAUUUCACUAAGAAU